UAGUUAUCACGAAAGGCGGAGGGACAGACCCAACGAAACCUUAGCAACCCUUUAUCAAAAAGAAGGUGCUACAUUCUACUUAUUCCAAAAAAUAAGACAGAUAACCC
rnacentral:ncRNA from 1 species